GUGUUUGACUACGCGGAGUUGGUGGAGCCGUUUAGGUGUUAUUUGGAGAGGGAGGAGAUUUUGGGAGAGGGUUUGAUACUGGCGAUAGAGGAGUUGUCGAAAUUGAGGGAGGUGUUGAGGAGGGGGUUGAAGAAGGGGGAGUGUCACGUAGAGUUGUAUAUGAGGUAUUUAGGACAGUUCGAUUCACUGAAGAAGAGAAUAGCGAUAUCGAGGGAGGAUGGGUUUAAGUUUGCGUGGUACAACUUGUACACGGGGAAGAAGCAGGGUAUGUAUGCGCGUUGUAUGGGGGUUAGAGGGAUAGGUAGAGAGAGAGAGUUGACGGUGAAAUGAAGUGAGUGUGUGCGGAAGGUUGGAGAGGGCGGGGAUG